GACGAACGCUGGCGGCGUGCUUAACACAUGCAAGUCGAACGGUAAGGCCCUUCGGGGUACACGAGUGGCGAACGGGUGAGUAACACGUGGGUGAUCUGCCCUGCACUUCGGGAUAAGCCUGGGAAACUGGGUCUAAUACCGGAUAGGACCCUGGGAUGCAUGUCCUGGGGUGGAAAGCUUUUGCGGUGUGGGAUGGGCCCGCGGCCUAUCGGCUUGUUGGUGGGGUAAUGGCCUACCAAGGCGACGACGGGUAGCCGGCCUGAGAGGGUGACCGGUCACACUGGGACUGAGAUACGGCCCAGACUCCUACGGGAGGCAGCAGUGGGGAAUAUUGCACAAUGGGCGCAAGCCUGAUGCAGCGACGCCGCGUGAGGGAUGACGGCCUUCGGGUUGUAAACCUCUUUCAGCACCGACGAAGCGCAAGUGACGGUAGGUGCAGAAGAAGGACCGGCCAACUACGUGCCAGCCGCCGCCGUAA
rnacentral:rRNA from 1 species